rnacentral:rRNA from 1 species
GACGAACGCUGGCGGCGUGCCUAAUACAUGCAAGUUGAGCGCUGAAGGUUGGUACUUGUACCAACUGGAUGAGCAGCGAACGGGUGAGUAACGCGUGGGGAAUCUGCCUUUGAGCGGGGGACAACAUUUGGAAACGAAUGCCAAUACCGCAUAAAAACUUUAAACACAAGUUUUAAGUUUGAAAGAUGCAAUUGCAUCACUCAAAGAUGAUUCCGCGUUGUAUUAGCUAGUUGGUGAGGUAAAGGCUCACCAAGGCGAUGAUACAUAGCCGGCCUGGGAGGGUGAUCGGCCACAUUGGGACUGAGACACGGCCCAAAAUUCUACGGGAGGCAGCAGUAGGGGAUCAUCGGCAAUGGACGAAAGUCUGACCGGGCAACGCCGCGUGAGUGAAGGAGGUUUUCGGAUCGUAAAACUCUGUUGGUAGAGAAGAACGUUGGUGAGAGUGGAAAGCUCAUCAAGUGACGGUAACUACCCAGAAAGGGACGGCUAACUACGUG